rnacentral:SRP_RNA from 1 species
CCCCGGGCUUCGUGCAACGGGCGGCCGUAAACCCCGCCAGGUCCGGAAGGAAGCAACGGUAGCGGCUUAGCUCGUGUGCCGCGGAUCACCCGGGGUCU